CACCUUUUCUUUCGGUGUCA
rnacentral:siRNA from 1 species